CACGUGGGCAACCUGCCUGUAAGACUGGGAUAACUUCGGGAAACCGGAGCUAAUACCGGAUAAUGCAUAACCUCUCAUGAGGUUAUGCUGAAAGAUGGUUUCGGCUAUCACUUACAGAUGGGCCCGCGGCGCAUUAGCUAGUUGGUGAGGUAACGGCUCACCAAGGCAACGAUGCGUAGCCGACCUGAGAGGGUGAUCGGCCACACUGGGACUGAGACACGGCCCAGACUCCUACGGGAGGCAGCAGUAGGGAAUCUUCCGCAAUGGACGAAAGUCUGACGGAGCAACGCCGCGUGAGUGAUGAAGGUUUUCGGAUCGUAAAACUCUGUUGUUAGGGAAGAACAAGUGCCGGAGUAACUGCCGGCACCUUGACGGUACCUAACCAGAAAGCCACGGCUAACUACGUGCCAGCAGCCGCGGUAAUACGUAGGUGGCAAGCGUUGUCCGGAAUUAUUGGGCGUAAAGCGCGCGCAGGCGGUCUCUUAAGUCUGAUGUGAAAGCCCACGGCUCAACCGUGGAGGGUCAUUGGAAACUGGGGGACUUGAGUGCAGAAGAGGAAAGUGGAAUUCCACGUGUAGCGGUGAAAUGCGUAGAGAUGUG
rnacentral:rRNA from 1 species